rnacentral:rRNA from 1 species
UACGGAGGGUGCAAGCGUUAUCCGGAUUCACUGGGUUUAAAGGGAGCGCAGGCGGAUUUGUAAGUCAGUGGUGAAAGGCUUAAGCCUUAACUUGGGACUGCCAUUGAUACUAUAAGUCUUGAAUGUUGUUGAGGUUGCUGGAAGUGGUCGAUGUAGCGGUGAAAUGCAUAGAUAUGACCCGGAACACCUAUUGCGAAGGCAGCAGGCUAAACAAAUAUUGACGCUGAGGCUCGAAAGCGUGGGAUCAAACAGG